UUAACCAAUCAUGAGUCAUGACUGUUAUUGACUAGGCUAGCGUUAGACAAUGGACAACUUUGUUGCAACUCUAGUUGAAGGUAACUAGCUAAUUGCGUCGGAAGUGUUUUAUGCAACACUCCCCAGCAACUAACGUUAGCGAGGAAAGAACGGUUAGUACAGCAUGCCAAACUGACCCCUGGGUGCCAGAGUGUUCCUCUGCUGCGGUGGAGAAGAGGUCCACCGGGACCAUCACUGAAGAGCUCGGGGCCCAGCUAGAUUGCGUUUACGACCAUCAGUAUACAACCAAGUCCUGUCUCUACGGAGAGUGAGAUGAGUGAAGACCAGGACUCGCUGUAUGAACCUGAGAGCUCAGAAUCACAAUCAUUACAGUGUGAGCCAAGAGAUACUAUCGAAGACUGUGCGCAAGAUCCGAAAUACAUAGUCUUUGAUAGCAAGCUGAAGGAGUUGUUCAAUGUCGAGCAGGUGUCAUCAGUUCAUCCCUGAAAAUAAAUGGUUUUGCCACAUCACCAUGGAGAUGUAACAGUACCGAUUGAAAGGCUAUUAGCGCGCACCACCGCUAACUAGCUAGCCAUUUCACAUCCGUUACAGAGACAUCACAAACAAAGGAGCCCUUACAAAAAAGAUUGCAGUUUUGAAACUGCAGUAAAAGUGCAAUAACUGCAGUCAUAUAGGUGUGAGGAAACAGCUGGUGACCAUCGGAAGCCAGAGGUACUGUCAAAUAUUUUAUAGUAAAAUAAGAACUAUAUAAUUAUGAUGAUUCAAGUCAGUGACCCAGGUGUCUAAUGUAUUCCCUGCGUCUCAGGUACUGCCAUGGGUGAGGGCAUUAACGCACCACCUGUGGUACUGUGCCGCCACUACUGGUGGGAGCGUCCAGGUGCUAAAAGAAAAGUACUUAUUUAUCUCUAGUUACAUAAAUUAGAUAUUUCAUUUUGUAGGUGACGAAGUGUGUUCAGACAGUUGAACUCAAGAGUGUACACUAAAUAGUGUACACUAAAUACGUGCCCAAGAGGAACAAGUUCAGCCAGCAGGGGCAAGACUCCAAGUGGCUGACUUGGACCACAAUUAUUCAGUGGACAGACAGAAGGCUACAAGAAAGGAGGGAGUGCUCAGUUUCAAGCAAAAGUUCAAGAUGGCUGCCAGGGUGUUUGUGGUGAAACCCAUCAAGGAGAAGACAUGGUGUUUCCUGUCUGAGAUUCUACAUGGCAUUGUUGACCAAUGUGCCAAUGGACCAGCGGACUCUCCUGAGUGCCCAAAGAGAGAGAGAGAGUGGCGGUCACUUUGGGAGAGCGGGCUGGUGUUCUGAAAAUGGAGAGAAGGAGCAGGCCAUUCAACAGUGAAUUCAAAGAUAGACCAAUCCAUAGAGGGAAUCGGAGUGGAAUUGUUUUUCCACAGAUUUUUUACCAGUUUCAACGGAUGUGCUACCUUGUCCUGGACCUGCUGUUUUGACUCGCUCUCGCUCUCUCGGACCUGCUGUCUCGACCUAUGAAUGCUCAGCUACGAAAAGCCAACUGACAUUUGCUCCUGAGGUGUUGAAGUGUUGCACCCUCUAUAACCACUGUGGUUAAUAUUUUGAUGUAAAAAGGGCUUUGUAAAAUUAAUUUGAUUGAUUGUUUACUGUGCUGCGUGCUGUGUAUUCACUAACUGUCUGAGUGAUGUGCCAUUUUAAUAGUAUAUGUAACAUAUGUAUUUUUGUAAUCCUGUUUCUAUGAUCUGUUUCCACUACCACGUACCCAGUUUGCUUUGGAUAAAGGCAUAUGCUAAAUGGCAUA